GGUUUUCGUAGGUAAACCUGCGAAAGGAUCACUG
rnacentral:rRNA from 1 species